rnacentral:rRNA from 1 species
GUGUCAGCAGCCGCGGUAAUACGUAGGGUGCGAGCGUUGCCCGGAUUUAUUGGGCGUAAAGGGCGCGCAGGCGGUACGGCACGUCCGUUGUGAAAUCGCUCGGCUCAACUGGGCGGGGUCAGCGGAUACGGCCGCACUUGAGCAAGCUAGGGGGCAAUGGAAUUCCCGGUGUAGUGGUGGAAUGCGUAGAUAUCGGGAGGAACACCAGUGGCGAAGGCGGUUGCCUGGAGCUUUGCUGACGCUGAGGCGCGAAAGCGUGGGGAGCGAUCCGGAUUAGAAACCCUGGUAGUCC